AUUGAACGCUGGCGGCAGGCUUAACACAUGCAAGUCGAGCGGAGAUGAGGUGCUUGCACCUUAUCUUAGCGGCGGACGGGUGAGUAAUGCUUAGGAAUCUGCCUAUUAGUGGGGGACAACAUUCCGAAAGGAAUGCUAAUACCGCAUACGUCCUACGGGAGAAAGCAGGGGAUCUUCGGACCUUGCGCUAAUAGAUGAGCCUAAGUCGGAUUAGCUAGUUGGUGGGGUAAAGGCCUACCAAGGCGACGAUCUGUAGCGGGUCUGAGAGGAUGCUCCGCCACACUGGGACUGAGCCACGGCCCAGACUCCCACGGGAGGCAGCAGCGGGGAAUAUUGGACAAUGGGGGGAACCCUGAUCCAGCCAUGCCGCGUGUGUGAAGAAGGCCUUAUGGUUGUAAAGCACUUUAAGCGAGGAGGAGGCUACUGAGACUAAUACUCUUGGAUAGUGGACGUUACUCGCAGAAUAAGCACCGGCUAACUCUGUGCCAGCAGCCGCCGUAACAC
rnacentral:rRNA from 1 species